GCAUGUCACUUACGAAGGUACCAUAGAAGAAAAUGGCCGAGGCAUGCUACAGGUGGAUUUUGCAAAUCAUUUUGUUGGAGGUGGUGUAACCAGUGCAGGACUUGUGCAAGAAGAAAUCCGCUUUUUAAUCAAUCCUGAGUUGAUUAUUUCACGGCUCUUCACUGAGGUGCUGGAUCACAAUGAAUGUCUAAUUAUCACAGUGUCAGAGAUGGCUUUGGAUUCCCCAUUCUGUGUGCUGCUGUCUGGCUCCUGAACCCACCUGUAGAGGUGUGUCAAUCCCAGCUGGUGAAGUACUGAGAAGAAGCUACACAAAAGGCAUCAAAGUAUUAGUGAGUGGUGUCAUUGAGCAAACACAAAGUCGGGCUCAUCCAAGGAUGAGAUUUUGCCAGAGAAAGGACGAGCAGCAAGUCAGGGAGCUUAAGAGACGAGGUUUUACUACGUAGGCGAAGUUGGUCUCGAACUCCUGACCUCAGAUGAUCCACCCGCCUCAGCCUCCCAAAGUGCUGGGAUUACAGGCGUGAGCCACCGCACCUGGCCUGUUUAUUCUCUUAAGAGAGAAAAUGAGGGGAUUAGUGGACUGUAGUUCUGGACAAGGUGGAAAACUCUUAAAGUGGAAGUAUUGGGGCAAGUGCUCUGACAGGCUAGGAUGGUGCAGUCAGUCCCUUCACCCAGAAAUCAGUAGAAUGUUAACAGUUCAGACUCAAACCUUGUGAAAAACAGGUUCUAGAAAGGAAAUCCCUCACAGCAACUGGCACCAUAAUCAAGACAGAAUUUUUGCAGAAUAAAUAGAGUUACCUG
rnacentral:lncRNA from 10 species